ensembl:miRNA
CGCCGCCCGGGCGGCGGCGGCGGCGGCGGCGGCAGCGGCGGCGGCGGCGGCGGC